CAGAGUCGAAAUUAACUCUGAUUUAAAAUUUAUAGUCAUCUUUGUGACUGCAUGAACAGUUGCGUGUCAUGAUGUUGGAACGUUCGGAAGGAAUGCGGAAGUCCAAUCAAUCGCGAAUUCAACUGAAAUUUCAAUUCCAUUAACUGUCAAUCUGAAUAUAUUCUCGCAAUAACUUUGACGAGAAUUUUCUUUUGAGGAUUUCGAAAAAUUUGUCUUCCUCGAAGUUUAUCUCUUAUUAUCUUGGAAUUACCUAUAUUUUGAUAACAUAUUGGUUAUUUCGACUUUUAAUUAUCUUUCAAUCACGGCGUCUUUCGAACCGAAAGUAGUUAUAUAUAUACCUAUAAAAUUUUCAAGCAUUUCUUGCAAAAUCUUGACUACUGUAUUAUAUAAUAAUCAUUUUAUCUCGAUAAUAUAAAUUUUGUACAUGUGAAAAUUCUAUUAUAAGAAAUCAUGACGCUCGAUCUAUCUCAUGAUAAAUUAUAUAAUAUUAAUCGUUAAUAUCUGAUGAAGUUAUUUGAUUCUCUCGAGUCAUUGUCACGCUUCGAUAAAUGACGAAUGACAUUUAUUUACUCAUAAUCUGCAAUCAGUUUCAAUUUAAUUGUCGCAAUAACGUCAGCGUUUGCAUUUAGAUUUAUUUACGUAAUUCCCAAGUACAUUUGCUGCAAUAUUGAUAACGGCAAUAUGGUUCAACAUUGCUCCACGUCAAAACUGAAAAUCACGUUUCGCACACGCAGCAUGGCGCAAAGUUGAUAGAUCGAAAGAGGAAUACCGGAAACAUUAUCGAAAGGUCAAGCACAUGACGCUCACGCUGUGAUCCUCCUAUUUAAAAUAUCCAUAAUUUUUUUAUUUACUUUGUCAGCAAAUCUUACUUGCAGCGUCUUCUUUUUUUCCAACUUCCUUAAUGGAAGAAAAAUAACACGCAUGAAAUAAGCUCUGUAGGAGAAAUGGUUCAUAUUCUUUCGGGAUAAAUUUGAGAGAAACCAUUCGUUAGUUUUUCUUACAGUUUAAUAAAAGAUAUUAGCCACUUUGUGUGAAAGUAAUCUAUACAAAAUGUUUUUGAAUUUUUCAAUAUCAAUAAAUGCAAUAAAAAAUCGCUUGUUUUUUACAUUAUACAUAUAUAAUACAUAUCAAAUUAAAGUAGAUAAUUAAUAGGAAAAUAAAUACACCUACAAUUGUACAUAUUGUUCUUGUACUUUAUUACAUUUAUUAUUCGAUAAAUCAUGAUCAAUUGACAAUAAUAAUAAUUACAAUAAUAUUAAUAGUAAUAAUAGAAUAAUAAAAAAUUAAUUUUCUUCGGUUCUUGUGACAGCUGCCUCAAUGCCGUAAAGUUCCUAGCAAUCCUACAGAGUUUAUAUUUGGUGCAAGUACUUCAGAGAUUACAUUUGCAUAUCUCGUGUAGUACAGUCAAUUCUUUACGAAUUCUCUAAUCUUUUCUAUAAUAUUUUAAAAUAUCAAUUAAAAAGAAAAUUAAAAAAUAUAUUAAUACAUGCCCCGAAUAUGCCCAAGCAUAUUUUUAAUAAUUGAAGAAUCCUUGAAUAUUUAAAAUACAGAACUAAAUCAUAGCACUUUUAAAAUCGACGCUUUCUACGUGUAGCCGCCUCAUUCUCUUAUCGCAUACAGAAAGCAUAAAUGUUUCUAUUGUCAAAUCACGUUUGCUCCAUCCGUAUAUAAUUCAUGCCCGAACGAAUUAUAGCUUUCUUCUAUGAUAAAUGCAUUGAAAAACUGCAGAAGAAAAACACUGAGCAGUUGCUUUUUGAAAUAUCAAUUUUC